AUUAAACGCUAGCGGGAUGCCUUACACAUGCAAGUCGAACGGCAGCACGGAUUUCGGUCUGGUGGCGAGUGGCGAACGGGUGAGUAAAGUAUCGGAACGUGCCCAGUAGCGGGGGAUAACUGCGCGAAAGCGUGGCUAAUACCGCAUACGCCCUAAGGGGGAAAGCGGGGGAUCGCAAGACCUCGCACUAUUGGAGCGGCCGAUAUCGGAUUAGCUAGUUGGUGGGGUAAAGGCCUACCAAGGCGACGAUCCGUAGCUGGUUUGAGAGGACGGCCAGCCACACUGGGACUGAGACACGGCCCAGACUCCUACGGGAGGCAGCAGUGGGGAAUUUUGGACAAUGGGGGCAACCCUGAUCCAGCCAUUUCGCGUGUGCGAUGAAGGCCUUCGGGUUGUAAAGCACUUUCGGCAGGGAAGAAAAGGAUUGGGCUAAUACCCUGAUUCGCUGACGGUACCUGCAGAAUAAGCACCGGCUAACUACGUGCCAGCAGCCGCAGUAA
rnacentral:rRNA from 1 species